UGGGGAAUAUUGCACAAUGGGCGCAAGCCUGAUGCAGCCAUGCCGCGUGUAUGAAGAAGGCCUUCGGGUUGUAAAGUACUUUCAGCGGGGAGGAAGGGAGUAAAGUUAAUACCUUUGCUCAUUGACGUUACCCGCAGAAGAAGCACCGGCUAACUCCGUGCCAGCAGCCGCGGUAAUACGGAGGGUGCAAGCGUUAAUCGGAAUUACUGGGCGUAAAGCGCACGCUGGCGGGUUGUUAAGUCAGAUGUGAAAUCCCCGGGCUCAACCUGGGAACUGCAUCUGAUACUGGCAAGCUUGAGUCUCGUAGAGGGGGGUAGAAUUCCAGGUGUAGCGGUGAAAUGCGUAGAGAUCUGGAGGAAUACCGGUGGCGAAGGCGGCCCCCUGGACGAAGACUGACGCUCAGGUGCGAAAGCGUGGGGAGCAAACAGG
rnacentral:rRNA from 1 species